GAGAUUUGAUGAUUGAACUUUUGUAUCCUGUGUCUGCGCCAGAGACAGAAAGUGAUGGAGGGUAGAGACUCUGAACUC